UACGUAGGGAGCAAGCGUUGUCCGGAAUCAUUGGGCGUAAAGCGCGUGUAGGCGGUUACAUAAGUCUGUUGUGAAAGUCGGAGGCUCAACCUUCGAAAGCCGAUGGAUACUGUGUGACUAGAGUACGGAAGAGGAGAGUGGAAUUCCUGGUGUAGCGGUGAAAUGCGCAGAUAUCAGGAGGAACACCAACGGCGAAGGCAGCUCUCUGGGACGUUACUGACGCUGAGACGCGAAAAGCGUGGGGGAGCGAACAGG
rnacentral:rRNA from 1 species